rnacentral:lncRNA from 1 species
CACCAUCCCAGGCUGUUUUUCCCCCCAUAAACUCUCCCUCUCUCUCUCUCUCCUUGCAGCGCCGUUUUCUUUGUCACCUACCUGAUCCUCGCCUGCUGCUCCGGGCCCAGGAGGUACUUCCCAUGGAACCUGAUCCUGCUCAGCAUCUUUACCCUGUCCAUGGCCUAUCUCACUGCCAUGCUCUCCAGGUGGGUUGGGCACUGCCCUGUGUCCUGUCUCUUCCUGAAAGCAUUCC